rnacentral:rRNA from 1 species
CGCUGUGAAGAUGCAGUGUACCCGCGGCAAGACGGAAAGACCCCGUGAACCUUUACUAUAGCUUGACACUGAACAUUGAGCCUUGAUGUGUAGGAUAGGUGGGAGGCUUUGAAGUGUGGACGCCAGUCUGCAUGGAGCCGACCUUGAAAUACCACCCUUUAAUGUUUGAUGUUCUAACGUGGACCCGUGAUCCGGGUUGCGGACAGUGUCUGGUGGGUAGUUUGACUGGGGCGGUCUCCUCCUAAAGAGUAACGGAGGAGCACGAAGGUUGGCUAAUCCUGGUCGGACAUCAGGAGGUUAGUGCAAUGGCAUAAGCCAGCUUGACUGCGAGCGUGACGGCGCGAGCAGGUGCGAAAGCAGGUCAUAGUGAUCCGGUGGUUCUGAAUGGAAGGGCCAUCGCUCAACGGAUAAAAGGUACUCCGGGGAUAACAGGCUGAUACCGCCCAAGAGUUCAUAUCGACGGCGGUGUUUGGCACCUCGAUGUCGGCUCAUCACAUCCUGGGGCUGAAGUAGGUCCCAAGGGUAUGGCUGUUCGCCAUUUAAAGUGGUACGCGAGCUGGGUUUAGAACGUCGUGAGACAGUUCGGUCCCUAUCUGCCGUGGGCGCUGGAGAACUGAGGGGGGCUGCUCCUAGUACGAGAGGACCGGAGUGGACGCAUCACUGGUGUUCGGGUUGUCAUGCCAAUGGCACUGCCCGGUAGCUAAAUGCGGAAGAGAUAAGUGCUGAAAGCAUCUAAGCACGAAACUUGCCCCGAGAUGAGUUCUCCCUGAGACUUUAAGUCUCCUGAAGGAACGUUGAAGACGACGACGUUGAUAGGCCGGGUGUGUAAGCGCAGCGAUGCGUUGAGCUAACCGGUACUAAUGAACCGUGAGGCUUAACCUUACAACGCCGAAG